rnacentral:lncRNA from 1 species
AGGAAGUUUGAGGCCGGCCGCUUGGUGGCGCCUGUGGCCGCAGGGAUUUGACUGGGCCUUCUCUAGCUUUCCCCGGUUUGCUGCACUUGACGCUGCAGGGCGGGCGGGGUAAAGAAGGGAGCGAGCCCUUCUCAAGCUUGGAAAGUUUCCAGACUGCUGGGCCAGCCUCCUCCCCAGAGGGAAACUGAGGUCCGAUUGAGGUUUCUCCAAGACCGCCCACUCCUGCUCCUGUCCCCAAACCCCUUUCUGCCUAGGGUUCCUGGAAGCCAAGGAAACAGAACGAACUGUUCCCUGGGUGGGCGAGCCACUGCAGAGUACAAAGCUUUCAGGCCGCCUGCCUCAUUAGCACUAAUGGCUGCUCCCUUCCGCCCUGUGUCGUCAGGACUGUCUAUGCCUGGUCUCAUCAGCACAAGGCUGGGCUGAAGAAGUCCCAGGAGUCCUCCCAUGUCCUCUCAGCAACCCAGGCUGGAGCCUACUCCUUGGUGUUGGCAAAGGAAACCGUCUUUGAAGCCAGAGGGAGCCCUGAAUUCAUGCAGAGGAGUUUUUCUACCUUCCAUCUGCUUCUGCAUAUCAUCUUGUCUACUUAAUGCCCCUCCUUCCGGAUUUAUAGAACAGUAUGCAUAAUAUGACCCCAACUGCAUUCCAAAAAAUAGAUGUAGAUGUAAGCUUAGAGAUGCAAAGAAACUUUUUGAGAGAAUUCACUAUGCUUCUCGCGGGUGGUGACACAGUUCAAGGAGGUUCCAUGGGGUGUAAUGUUUAUCUUUCUCUUUUGUCCUUCUGAUCAUUGAAAUGAUGCUUUGUGUGUGUGAACAUGUAUUACUUUUAUAAUUAAAAUAGAAAAAUUAAUUUGAAUGGGACAAAUGCUCGAAGUCAAAGUCACCUGUUAUAACUGCUGUCACUAACAGGGCAACUGUUUGAAAAUGCUGCAGAAACAUGAGAAAUGUUCAUGAAGUGACCCUGUGGAGGCUUCCGGUCACAGGAUCAUGUGAGCGCCACGAUCACCCCAGGGGUGGAGCAGAUGCUAAGUGUUCACCACACCCAAUUCUCUUCCUGGACACACAGGAAGAUGACAUUUCCAGUGACAUGCCCCACCUCUAGGCCCUAGUCUUUUUUUUAUUUAAAGGUCUGAGUCUUGUUCUGUCACCCAGGCUGGAGUGCAGUGCUGUGAUCAUGACUCACUGCAGCCUCAACCUCCUGUGCUCAAACAAUCCUCCCACCUCAGCCUCCCUAAUAGCUGAUGUCAUAUAGGCAUGAGCCAGUGUGCCUGGCUCAGGCCCUACCCUUAAAAGCAUCCCACCUGAUUCACCAGCCCCCUUCUCUCUCUCAGUAAACUUGGAAACCACGCAUUCCAGAUGGUAUAAUUUACAGCAUGAUGGAAAAAGCCAGCUCUCCAUGGGAAGCUGGCCAGUCUUCAUUGGAGUACAUUUUUAUUGCAUGAAGCCAAUGAGACUUGAUAUUGUUUAACUCUGUGGUUUCCAAAGUGCGGUCCUUUUGAAGUAUCCAUAAAGUCUACACUAGGUUCACGGUAAUAUUAAGAUGUUAUUUGUCAGCUGGGCACGGUGGCUCACGCCUAUAAUCUCAGCACUUUGGGAGGCCAAGGCAAAUGGAUAAUGAGGUCAG